CCAUCCUAGGAUUACUCCCGCCCUAGCACGCUUAACUCUCUUAACCUCUUGGGCCUUGCCACCACCAAAAAUGCUUAAGCCGGGUUAAGAGUUUAGCCAUAUUAUAUCUCAUAUAUAUGACUAUAUGGGGUCUCACAAUCUCCCCUCCUUUAAGCCCUGACGUCCUCGUCAGGCUCAGACUCACAAGUACCAGGCGAUGUGAGACUCGUCUCGCUAGCCCGUCAUCCAAACCCUGGCUCAGCCGAGACUCAUCUCACACUUCCGGCUGGUAAUUGGCUCUGAUACCAACUGUGACGCCCCAGCUUCCCAGGGGUCACCCAUCCUAGGAUUACUACCGUCCUAGCACGCUUAACUCUCUUAACCUCUUGGGCCUUGCCACCACCCAAAAUGCUUAAGCCGGGUUAAGAGUUUAGCCAUAUUAUAUCUCAUAUAUAUGACUAUAUGGGGUCUCACAAAAUUGGUAGCGGCUCGGGGCGUGAUAGAUAAUAUGGUAUCAGAGCAAGUUAAGAGCAAAUAAAGAGAGUCUAGGACUGACCUAGGAGACCCUAGGAUGGUAAACCGUAAGGUUAUAGGUGCGUGAGUGGAACGUGAACCUAUACGAUGGCAGAAGUUGAAUUGAUUGGGUCAGUUUUGUAAAC
rnacentral:lncRNA from 1 species